rnacentral:rRNA from 1 species
GAUGAACGCUGGCGGCGUGCCUAACACAUGCAAGUCGAGCGAAGCAUACAGAAUGAAGUUUUCGGAUGGAUUUCUGUAUGACUGAGCGGCGGACGGGUGAGUAACGCGUGGGUAACCUGCCUUAUACAGGGGGAUAACAGUUAGAAAUGACUGCUAAUACCGCAUAAGCGCACAGUACUGCAUGGUACAGUGUGAAAAACUCCGGUGGUAUAAGAUGGACCCGCGUCUGAUUAGCCAGUUGGCGGGGUAACGGCCCACCAAAGCGACGAUCAGUAGCCGACCUGAGAGGGUGACCGGCCACAUUGGGACUGAGACACGGCCCAA